rnacentral:rRNA from 1 species
UACGGGGGGGGCAAGCGUUGUUCGGAAUUACUGGGCGUAAAGGGCUCGUAGGUGGCCAACUAAGUCGGACGUGAAAUCCCUCAGCUUAACUGGGGAACUGCGUCCGAUACUGGAUGGCUUGAGUUUGGGAGAGGGAUGCGGAAUUCCAGGUGUAGCGGUGAAAUGCGUAGAUAUCUGGAGGAACACCGGUGGCGAAGGCGGCACCCUGGACCAACACUGACACUGAGGAGCGAAAGCCAGGGGAGCAAACGGG